AGCUCCACCUCCAAGUUAUGAGAAUUGGUUCUAAAAGAGAUGGCCAGGAGUCCUGUAAAAAAGAUGAAAAUAGCUAUGUCUGAUUGAUUUAUGAUCUCCUCAUGACCAUCCAUUCAUAAAAUUUGCAUCAUCGUCAGAUGAGAAUGAUGUGGGAAGCUUGAUGAUCUAAUUGGGGGGAAGAUGAGGUAGCACCAACUUGCUGGCUUAGUCAUCUCUACGCUGCUUGGCUAUGUGAGUUGGAGGUUUAUUUCUUCUCAGCCUUUUAGUUUCAAUCAUUUGUUAGAUUAUGAAAAAUUCUCUAUUUUUGUUUGAAG